rnacentral:rRNA from 1 species
CCAGCAGCCGCGGUAAUACGUAGGGGGCGAGCGUUAUCCGGAUUUAUUGGGCGUAAAGCGUGUGUAGGCGGUUUAUUAAGUUUAAGAUUAAAGCCCGAGGCUUAACCUCGGUUCGUCUUAAAAACUGAUAGACUUGAGUAUGGUAGAGGCAAAUGGAAUUUCUAGUGUAGCGGUUAAAUGCGUAGAUAUUAGAAGGAACAUCAGUGGCGAAGGCGAUUUGCUGGGCCAUUACUGACGCUGAGACACGAAAGCGUGGGGAGCAAAUAGGAUUAGAUACCCUAGUAGUCCACGCCGUAAACGAUGAGUACUAAGUGUCGGGAAACCGGUGCUGAAGCUAACGCAUUAAGUACUCCGCCUGAGUAGUACGGUCGCAAGACUGAAACUCAAAGGAAUUGACGGGGGCCCGCACAAGC